rnacentral:sRNA from 13 species
UGCGGGAUUAUGUAUUGCCGGUUCUCACGGUUUUGGAAACACGGCGUUGCGAUACAGCUCAUAUCCACUCAAAGUGGCUUUCAAGAGCUGUAAAUUGGUUCCGACGAUGGCGAUGGGAGUAUGUU